rnacentral:lncRNA from 1 species
UCUUGCCUGCUCUCAAUUUCCACUCUCUGAUUUCGUUCAGACUGGAGGCCUGCGGGCCUGUGCUCAUUUACCGAGUCACUAACUUGUAUUUUUUUAUUCUUCACACAGACUCCAUGUACACUGCCCUAUGCUUUCCAGAAGGCUGGGGGCCCCAUGCAUCGCCCCGGGCUGAGAAGGAGCUGGAGGCUGAGAAAGUCACCUGCCUCCCCAGUGCCCGAGACCGCAGCCGCUAUGCUCCUGCCGGACUUCACAGCCGCCUCAAGUGCUGAGAGAUCCAGCGGCAGGGCCCCACUUCCCUGCCCUGUGAAUGAAAAUAGCCAUUCUCAACAUCAAUGUUGCUGCUUCUCCUUGCUCUGAUUAGGAUUUAUUUCCCUAGCUAGAGAAAAAGAAAGGCACUUUAGAAGUCCUAAUUAGAAUGACUCCUCUCUAUUUAAUUUAUUCAGGAUAUCCUGCUGAGCUGCACCGGUGUGUCCCAAUGUAUUAUUAUUAUUAUUGUUUUAAAGAAGCCAUUUCUGACCAGAGGCUGGAGGAGACGCCCUUCGUCUGUCUCUCGGCCCUGUGGUCCUGGCCCUCGCCAAGGGAACUGUUCUUGCUCUGCUGUGUUUAUUUGCAUUAUGUAAUAUAAACAGCUCCAGGGAGAUGGGCUUCUCCACUUUGUUUUUAGACUCAGACUUCGCUCGCCCUCAGCAGAGCUUGUCACUUGAGUGGUUUCCUCUAGCUUUCUGUUUUGCUGCUGGAGAACAAAACAGCCUGCCCUUGACCCUUCUGCAGGACCAGCCCUUUCCUCCCGCCAUGACCCAGCAAUGAAAGUGAGACACUGCUGAUGCUGACAGUGUCCCCAGAGGCUCAGCAUGGGCCGGGGCGGAGGGGGCGUCCAAACUGAGCAGAGACGAAUCAGUGGGGUCACCAACUGCAGGGGGGAGAAGGAUGUUCUUUUCAUCUCUUCAGAUCUAUUCUGCCCUCCACGUCCACCCUCUCCUCGGUCCUUCCCAGCUGCCCAUUACAGACACAAGGCUAUGCAUGGGUUCUAAAUUCUCC